AGGGGCCCAACCUGCCUGGCGAUGCAGAGCUUCCUGCAACUGCUGAGGGGAAACGGGGGCCACAGCCUGCCCUUGCCGGAGCUGGUGACCCUCGCAGGCAGGCUGUGCCGGGACCUGCAGGAUGACCCCACCCAGGUGCAGCCCUUGGUCACAGCUGUGCUGGACAGCCAGUUCCGCCUGUACCUCUUGGACAAUGCGGAUGUGGCCCUGGUGUGCGCCAGCGUGCUGGCCCAGCGAGAACAGCACCAGGCCGCUUGCCGGCUGCUGGAGGGGUGCCAGGUGCCGGGUGGCAGCCCCAAGCUGGUGCAGCUCUGGAAUGACAUCCAUUACCGUCUGGCCAUGAAGAGGCUUGGUGUGUCCACGCUGACACCGGUGCAGAAGUUCCGGUGCAGGAAGAGGAAUCCACCACCUGCCUCCCUCUGUCCUAAUGGCCUCAAGAGCCGGAACUUCCCCAGAGAAGUUCGCCAGAAGCUGGAGGACUUUGCCUCAGGCGUGAGCACCAACCCCAGCAAGGCCGAGCGGGAGGACCUGGCCUCUGAGACGCACCUGACCACGGAGCAAGUCUACAACUGGUUUGCCAAUUACCGGCGGCGCCAGAGGGCCUUGAUGCAGCGUGCAGCGCCAGCCCAGACUGCAGAAGACCUCACGUCGGGGGAGGCGAGUCGGCACCUCCCCCCGCAGCCAACAGACCACCCCCACCUUGGCUCUGGGCUUGUGGACAGGCCUCAGUGGUCAACAGGACCGGAGAAAAGUGGGCCUCUACAGACCCUGGAGACCACCCAAGGGCCGUGGGAGCCGCUGGCUCUGACCCCAGACCUCUCUGGAGACGAGACUAUGCCCAAGUCACUGGCUCCCAGCAUCAACCCCCAGGGCACAUACCUGGAGGAGGAUCCGGGUUCCUGCGGUAGCCAAGCAGAACAACAGGCGGGCAACCUUCAGGUGACCCAGCCCCCGGCACAGGCUCCCAAUUUCAUCCUCACCCAGAGUCCCUCAGACCUGACUCCGGCCCCACCAGGCUUCCCUGGCCCCAUGUCUGCCGUGGAGCUGGGCCAGCCCCCUCCCUCCAGCCAGGUGCAGUGGUCUGAUGGGCAGACCUCCAGCGACGCCUUCUGGGGAGCCAGGAUGCUCCUGGAGCUUUCAGCGGGUAGCCUGGGCUGA
rnacentral:lncRNA from 1 species